AGUGAACGCUGGCGGUAGGCCUAACACAUGCAAGUCGAACGGCAGCACAGUAAGAGCUUGCUCUUACGGGUGGCGAGUGGCGGACGGGUGAGGAAUACAUCGGAAUCUACUUUUUCGUGGGGGAUAACGUAGGGAAACUUACGCUAAUACCGCAUACGACCUACGGGUGAAAGCAGGGGAUCUUCGGACCUUGCGCGAUUGAAUGAGCCGAUGUCGGAUUAGCUAGUUGGCGGGGUAAAGGCCCACCAAGGCGACGAUCCGUAGCUGGUCUGAGAGGAUGAUCAGCUACACUGGAACUGAGACACGGUCCAGACUCCUACGGGAGGCAGCAGUGGGGAAUAUUGGACAAUGGGCGCAAGCCUGAUCCAGCCAUACCGCGUGGGUGAAGAAGGCCUCCGGGUUGUAAAGCCCUUUUGUUGGGAAAGAAAAGCAGCAGGUUAAUACCCCGCUGUUCUGACGGUACCCAAAGAAUAAGCACCGGCUAACUUCGUG
rnacentral:rRNA from 1 species